rnacentral:rRNA from 1 species
UUAAGCCAUGCAUGUCUAAGUAUAAACGAUUUAAUCGUGAAACCGCGAAUGGCUCAUUAUAACAGCUAUAAUUUACUUGAUCUUGACACAAUCCUACUUGGAUAACUGUGGUAAUUCUAGAGCUAAUACAUGCAUUAAAGCUCUGACCUCACGGGAAGAGUGCAUUUAUUAGAACAAAACCAAGCGGCUUCGGCUGUUUCUGGUUGACUCAUAGUAACUGAGCUGAUCGCAUGGUCUUGCACCGGCGACGUGUCUUUCAAGUAUCUGCCGUAUCAACUUUCGAUGGUAGUGUAUCUGACUACCAUGGUGAUCACGCGUAACGGAGAAUAAGGGUUCGGCUCCGGAGAGUUCGCCUGAGAAAUCGCGAACACAUCUAAGGAAGGCAGCAGGCGCGAAAAUUACCCACUCUCAGCACGAGGAGGUAGUGACGAAAAAUAACGAGACCGUUCUCUUAUGAGGCCGGUCAUCGGAAUGGGUACAAUUUAAACCCUUUAACGAGUAU